AAUUUUUUAACCUCAUUCUUUAAUCUCAUCUCGAAAUCUUAUCUAAUUUUUCCGAAUUUCAAGAAAUUUUAUGAACUCGUUCGAAUUUCUGAAAGCUCUGCAGAAUCUUUGAUAUUUAGUAAUUUUAAAAUCCAGCCUCCACAUAGCAGGAUGCGCAGUUCAUAUUUUUAAUGAGUUCUGCGCAUACCUAAGCAAACUUCACCGCCACUUGUACGGUGAUCGCGCAAGCUGGUGAACGUCAUUGUUGUGAUAUUGUGGAGUGCAUCACAACAAAGUUCAAAUUUUAGAUGAUUUGAAUUUGUAAAAUGAAGGGGAACUAAUGUGAAUUAUUCCAUGAUUUGUUGAUCCUGCUUGGGUUCAAAGAUAACGCUUAAAACGUCGUGGAAAUGAUGGUUAUUGAGUUACUCCAUGUUUUGGUUUUGACAGGCAGGUCUUCACAAUCAACAUGAAAAUAAUUAAUGUUACUAUAGAUGGACAUGAUCUGGCGAGGAUUCGAUAUUCUACAUUCACGAUUUCUGCGAGGGAAAAAUGGAGUAUAAAGUUACACCGAAGAAACAAGGCGAAGGUUAUCGGAACGUUAAAAAUGGAGUGUGUUGCAGGAUACGAUAAAGUUGGAGAAAAAAAUUUCCUAAUGAGGCCUGUGAAAAGACUGAAAUGCGUGAAUGUAUGUCUCUCUUCAAAAUUGAGGAUUGCCGAAAAUAAUGAACUUUACAAAUUUAUGCACUGUCUCUUAUGAGGACUAAUUGCUGGACUUUGAUUAUUCCUAUUUUAUAUCAUUUUUGGGCUAUUGCAAGUUAGUGAACCGUGAUUAAUGGUGUUCAAAUUAUAAUGCAAUAUAUAUAUUAUCACAAUAUCGAAAAACCCUUGGAUAUUAAAAAGACGUUUAUUAAUAUAA